ACGGCGAGUGAGCGGCAACGCUAAUUUGAAAUCUGGCGUCUUUGGCGUCCGAGUUGUAAUUUGCAGAGGGCGCUUUGGCAUUGGCAGCGGUCCAAGUUCCUUGGAACAGGACGUCACAGAGGGUGAGAAUCCCGUACGUGGUCGCUAGCCUUUACCGUGUAAAGCCCCUUCGACGAGUCGAGUUGUUUGGGAAUGCAGCUCUAAAUGGGAGGUAAAUUUCUUCUAAAGCUAAAUACUGGCCAGAGACCGAUAGCGCACAAGUAGAGUGAUCGAAAGAUGAAAAGCACUUUGGAAAGAGAGUUAAAAAGCACGUGAAAUUGUUGAAAGGGAAGCGCUUGCAGCCAGACUUGCCUGUAGUUGCUCAUCCGGGUUUCUACCCGGUGCACUCUUCUAUAGGCAGGCCAGCAUCAGUUUGGGCGGUUGGAUAAAGGUCUCUGUCAUGUACCUCUCUUCGGGGAGAACUUAUAGGGGAGACGACAUGCAACCAGCCUGGACUGAGGUCCGCGCAUCUGCUAGGAUGCUGGCGUAAUGGCUGUAAGCGG
rnacentral:rRNA from 1 species